GACGAACGCUGGCGGCGUGCUUAACACAUGCGAGUCGAACGGAAAGGCCCUGCUUUUGUGGGGUGCUCGAGUGGCGAACGGGUGAGUAGCACGUGAGUAACCUGCCCUUGACUUUGGGAUAACUUCAGGAAACUGGGGCUAAUACCGGAUAGGAGCUCCUGCUGCAUGGUGGGGGUUGGAAAGUUUCGGCGGUUGGGGAUGGACUCGCGGCUUAUCAGCUUGUUGGUGGGGUAGUGGCUUACCAAGGCUUUGACGGGUAGCCGGCCCGAGAGGGUGACCGGCCACAUUGGGACUGAGAUACGGCCCAGACUCCUACGGGAGGCAGCAGUGGGGAAUAUUGCACAAUGGGCGGAAGCCUGAUGCAGCAACGCCGCGUGCGGGAUGACGGCCUUCGGGUUGUAAACCGCUUUCGCCUGUGACGAAGCGUGAGUGACGGUAAUGGGUAAAGAAGCACCGGCUAACUACGUG
rnacentral:rRNA from 1 species